GGGGGUGAAAUUGGCUUCGACGGGAUUAAAGAGGCAAUAACUUGCGCGUCGUGUUUCCUGCAGACACGUUAAACGGCGGGAAAAACCUUAAUUGGCGAAAACGAUUACGCCCUAGCUGCGUAAAUUAACGCAGCCGUUCCCUGUUCUCCCUCAUACCGGGGUUCAGAUGAACGCCGUUAGGUAUGAUAGCUAACCCUCUUGCCCGGCAAGGGAAGGCGAAUCCGCGUCGGCGGUUACGGGCACGCUUAAAGUGAUCCCUGCCAGUUUGGUAACUUUAAGUUAAAUUAAAAACCGGCUAUGUGUGUAGACGUUCAUUGGAUCUUAAUUUCGGACGCGGGUUCGACUCCCGCCACCUCCACUA
rnacentral:tmRNA from 1 species